rnacentral:tRNA from 1 species
UGGCUCAGCAGUAGAGUGCAUGCCUUGCAAGCAUGAGGCCCUGGGUUCGAUUCCUCAG